rnacentral:rRNA from 1 species
CAGCCGCCACGGUAAUACGUAGGGUGCAAGCGUUAAUCGGAAUUACUGGGCGUAAAGCGUGCGCAGGCGGUUAUAUAAGACAGAUGUGAAAUCCCCGGGCUCAACCUGGGAACUGCAUUUGUGACUGUAUAGCUAGAGUACGGCAGAGGGGGAUGGAAUUCCGCGUGUAGCAGUGAAAUGCGUAGAUAUGCGGAGGAACACCGAUGGCGAAGGCAAUCCCCUGGGCCUGCACUGACGCUCAUGCACGAAAGCGUGGGGAGCAAACAGGAUUAGAUACCCCGGUAGUCCCUGUCUCUUAUAC